rnacentral:rRNA from 1 species
GUGGGGAAUUUUGCGCAAUGGGCGAAAGCCUGACGCAGCAACGCCGCGUGGAGGAUGAAGGUCUUCGGAUCGUAAACUCCUGUCAGGGGGGAAGAAAGUCCCGCGAGGGGCCUGACUGUACCCCCUGAGGAAGCCACGGCCAACUCCGUGCCAGCAGCCGCGGUAAUACGGAGGUGGCAAGCGUUGUUCGGAAUUACUGGGCGUAAAGGGCGCGUAGGCGGCUUUGCAAGUCGGAUGUGAAAUCCCCGGGCUCAACUCGGGAAUUGCAUCCGAAACUGCUUAGCUUGAGUCCUGGAGGGGGUAGUGGAAUUCCCAGUGUAGCGGUGAAAUGCGUAGAUAUUGGGAGGAACACCGGCGGCGAAGGCGGCUACCUGGACAGUGACUGACGCUGAGGCGCGAAAGCUAGGGGAGCGAACGGGAUUAGAAACCCCAGUAGUCC